CUUUUACCAGAAUAAACAUACGAAUAAAUGUACACAUAAUUUUAUCUUAAAGGAAACAAAAGAAACUUUCAGAAAGGACGAACAACCAUCGGCUUACAUGGGAUACAGAAGUGAACCGAGUACAGAGAACAAGAUGUAUGAAGACCUAUUAUUGAAUAAAGAAAAUCCAGUAGUUUAUUUAAAUGUUAAGUAAAAACAGUGAAAGUUUAAACAUUCAAAUGCACGGACUUAGCAAACAGGGCUUAAACUUAACUACGGUAAUCGGAUUGGGUUCAAAUUCCGAUUGCGGCAAUAUUCGGGGGAGGGGGUGUUUUUAAUAUUCACAUCAUUUAUUCACUAGUGGAAAUGUUUCUUUCAUGUGAAGAGUUGCUAUCAUGUGAUUUAUUAUAUUCAUUGUGUAUUACAUAAUACUUUGAAAAAAAAACACGUGUCUUACAAUUAACAUCCACAAGAAUGAACAGAUAAAAAAAAAAUCUUCGUACAAUACAACAAGUUUUUAUUCAGAGAAAUAUUUGCGCUUACUUUCUGUCAGUUUGUAUACAUAGAAUGAUAUUCAGUCUUGUAUUUGCCAAAUUUAUAUAAUAAAUAAAUCACGAUGUGAUAAUUUUUUAGGUUAUGGGCUAUAAACCUAGCCAGUACAUCAAAGAAAACGUGUGGAUAUUUUUAAUAAAUAAAAGUGUGUUAAUCUUUAAA